rnacentral:rRNA from 1 species
AGUGAACGCUGGCGGUAGGCCUAACACAUGCAAGUCGAACGGCAGCACAGUAAGAGCUUGCUCUUACGGGUGGCGAGUGGCGGACGGGUGAGGAAUACAUCGGAAUCUACUUUUUCGUGGGGGAUAACGUAGGGAAACUUACGCUAAUACCGCAUACGACCUACGGGUGAAAGCAGGGGAUCUUCGGACCUUGCGCGAUUGAAUGAGCCGAUGUCGGAUUAGCUAGUUGGCGGGGUAAAGGCCCACCAAGGCGACGAUCCGUAGCUGGUCUGAGAGGAUGAUCAGCCACCUUGGAACGUGGACACGGUCCAGACUCCUACGGGAGGGAGCAGUGGGGAAUAUUGGACAAUGGGCGCAAGCCUGAUCCAGCCAUACCGCGUGGGUGAAGAAGGCCUUCGGGUUGUAAAGCCCUUUUGUUGGGAAAGAAAAGCAGCAGGUUAAUACCCCGCUGUUCUGACGGUACCCAAAGAAUAAGCACCGGCUAACUUCGUG